GACGAACGCUGGCGGCGCGCCUAACACAUGCAAGUCGAACGGAGCUGAGAGAAGCUUGCUUUUCUUAGCUUAGUGGCGAACGGGUGAGUAACGCGUGAGUAACCUGCCCUGGAGUGGGGGACAACAGUUGGAAACGACUGCUAAUACCGCAUAAGCCCACGAUCCGGCAUCGGAUUGAGGGAAAAGGAUUUAUUCGCUUCAGGAUGGACUCGCGUCCAAUUAGCUAGUUGGUGAGGUAACGGCCCACCAAGGCGACGAUUGGUAGCCGGACUGAGAGGUUGGACGGCCACAGUGGGACUGAGACACGGCCCAGACUCCUACGGGAGGCAGCAGUGGGGGAUAUUGCACAAUGGGGGAAGCCCUGAUGCAGCGACGCCGCGUGGAGGAAGAAGGUUUUCGGAUUGUAAACUCCUGUCGUUAGGGACGAUAAUGACGGUACCUAACAAGAAAGCACCGGCUAACUACGUG
rnacentral:rRNA from 1 species